rnacentral:rRNA from 1 species
CUUAGCGGCGGACGGGUGAGUAACACGUGGGUAACCUGCCCUUGAGAGGGGGAUAACAGGUCGAAAGGCCUGCUAAUACCGCAUAACGCUAAGAUGCCGCAUGGCGUCUUAGCCAAAGGUUAAUUCCGCUCAAGGAUGGGCCCGCGGCCCAUUAGCUAGUUGGUGAGGUAAUGGCUCACCAAGGCGACGAUGGGUAGCCGGCCUGAGAGGGUGGUCGGCCACACUGGGACUGAGACACGGCCCAGACUCCUACGGGAGGCAGCAGUGGGGAAUAUUGCGCAAUGGGGGAAACCCUGACGCAGCGACGCCGCGUGAGCGAUGAAGGCCUUCGGGUUGUAAAGCUCUGUCUUCCCUGACGAUAAUGACGGUAAGGGAGGAGGAAGCCACGGCUAACUACGUGCCAGCAGCCGCGGUAAUACGUAGGUGGCAAGCGUUGUCCGGAAUUACUGGGCGUAAAGGGUGCGUAGGCGGCUCUUUAAGUGGGGUGUGAAAUCCCUGGGCUCAACCCAGGAACUGCACUCCAAACUGGAGAGCUAGAGUGCAGGAGAGGAAAGCGGAAUUCCCAGUGUAGCGGUGAAAUGCGUAG